rnacentral:lncRNA from 1 species
CUUAGCGAUGUGGACAGGAGUCGAAGGACUAGAAUGAGAUCACUGAACUCAUUUCACUUGUUGCUUACGGUACAGUCCAGCAUGAGCUGGAAAUGUAGGAACCUCAGCCUCCCGAGCAGAAAGAUUCAACCAGAUCAGUACCAAAAGACUAUAUGCUAGCAGAAAUCUCAAGACCAUUCCAAGCUUUGUCUUCACCUGGAGGCAGUCUCAGAGAUCCCAAGGUUCCGUGACCAUCAGUCUGUGGCCUGCCCCUUCUCUUUAUAAACUUCUUGAAUUCUGUCUGAUGCCUGAUGACCUGACAAACUGGCCCAGAAUCAGAAGCCGGUCGUGCCGUGUGAGCUGUUAGCCAAGUUAUUCAGCUUGAACUGCUCCUUCAAAAACAGUAGGAAGGCGAGUAUCAGACAUAAGACCUGUGGUACCCAACCCAGUGUCAUCAGUAUCACCUGGGAGCUUUCUAGAAAUGCAGAAUCACAGACUCAGUCCCAG